rnacentral:tRNA from 1 species
GCCGGAGUGGCGGAACAGGCAGACGCAAGGGACUUAAAAUCCCUCGGGUAAACCAUCUACCCGUACCGGUUCGAUCCCGGUCUCCGGCACCA